UGGGGGAUAUUGCGCAAUGGGGGCAACCCUGACGCAGCAACGCCGCGUGAAGGAUGAAGGUUUUCGGAUUGUAAACUUCUUUUAUUAAGGACGAAACUUGACGGUACUUAAUGAAUAAGCUCCGGCUAACUACGUGCCAGCAGCCGCGGUAAUACGUAGGGAGCAAGCGUUGUCCGGAUUUACUGGGUGUAAAGGGUGCGUAGGCGGCUUUGCAAGUCAGAUGUGAAAUCUAUGGGCUCAACCCAUAAACUGCAUUUGAAACUGUAGAGCUUGAGUGAAGUAGAGGCAGGCGGAAUUCCCCGUGUAGCGGUGAAAUGCGUAGAGAUGGGGAGGAACACCAGUGGCGAAGGCGGCCUGCUGGGCUUUAACUGACGCUGAGGCACGAAAGCGUGGGUAGCAAACAGGAUUAGAUACCCUGGUAGUCCACGCUGUAAACGAUGAUUACUAGGUGUGGGGGGUCUGACCCCUUCCGUGCCGGAGUUAACACAAUAAGUAAUCCACCUGGGGAGUACGGCCGCAAGGUUGAAACUCAAAGGAAUUGACGGGGGCCCGCACAAGCAGUGGAGUAUGUGGUUUAAUUCGAAGCAACGCGAAGAACCUUACCAGGUCUUGACAUCCAACUAACGAAGUGGAGAUACAUUAGGUGCCCUUCGGGGAAAGUUGAGACAGGUGGUGCAUGGUUGUCGUCAGCUCGUGUCGUGAGAUGUUGGGUUAAGUCCCGCAACGAGCGCAACCCUUGCUAUUAGUUGCUACGCAAGAGCACUCUAAUAGGACUGCCGUUGACAAAACGGAGGAAGGUGGGGACGACGUCAAAUCAUCAUGCCCCUUAUGACCUGGGCUACACACGUACUACAAUGGAUGUUAACAGAGGGAAGCAAGACAGCGAUGUGGAGCAAACCCCUAAAAACAUUCUCAGUUCAGAUUGCAGGCUGCAACCCGCCUGCAUGAAGAUGGAAUUGCUAGUAAUCGCGGAUCAGCAUGCCGCGGUGAAUACGUUCCC
rnacentral:rRNA from 1 species